GAUGAACGCUGGCGGCGUGCCUAAUACAUGCAAGUCGAGCGAACGGACGAGAAGCUUGCUUCUCUGAUGUUAGCGGCGGACGGGUGAGUAACACGUGGAUAACCUACCUAUAAGACUGGGAUAACUUCGGGAAACCGGAGCUAAUACCGGAUAAUAUUUUGAACCGCAUGGUUCAAAAGUGAAAGACGGUCUUGCUGUCACUUAUAGAUGGAUCCGCGCUGCAUUAGCUAGUUGGUAAGGUAACGGCUUACCAAGGCAACGAUGCAUAGCCGACCUGAGAGGGUGGUCGCCCAGACUGGAACUGAGAAACGGUCCAGACUCCUACGGGAGGCAGCAGUAGGGAAUCUUCCGCAAUGGGCGAAAGCCUGACGGGGCAACGCCGCGUGAGUGAUGAAGGUCUUCGGAUCGUAAAACUCUGUUAUUAGGGAAGAACAUAUGUGUAAGUAACUGUGCACAUCUUGACGGUACCUAAUCAGAAAGCCACGGCUAACUACGUG
rnacentral:rRNA from 1 species